CCGCCCCGUUACACCAACAUCUCCUGAAGCGGCACCCGCGGUAUUAACUCAACCCCCUAUGAUAAUAUCGCAGGACAUCAUUGACGCUUUAUCGGAGCCUUGGGUUGAGGUGGAAAACGUUAUCAAUGGUAACGUUGAACAUCCCCCUCAACCCAAUUCACCGAUUAUUGAGGAAAAUGAUGUUCUGCCAGAGAGAUUGGUGGUGGUAGAGGCCGAAAAUAACAUCAUUCGGUCACCAUCACCACCACCGUCACCCAUGAUAUUAUCACAGGGCGUCAAUGACAUACAACAACCAUCUGGAUCCGAGGUUGAUGUGGAACUUAACAUCAUCACACCACCACUCCCUCAGCCUCCUGCAACGUUCGAUCCGAUGAGUAUUAUUACUCAAAAUGUCAUUGACGCACUGGCAGAGCCGUGGGUUGAAGAGAGGAGGCAGGGUGAAGAGAUGGAUGUUGAAAAUGACAUCAUUCAACCCUCUCAAUUGUCACCCAUUCUAGGGCAAAUAAAUAAUAGAGUUGAGAAUAGGGUGGAGGGUGGAGACGUUGAUGUCGAAAACGAAGACAAUGACGACGACGACAACAUCAUUCCACCCACUCCCCCUCACUCACGAUCAAGGAGGAGUCGGCGCCCUAGAAAGCCUCGUAGACGUGCGCGAAAGUCCCCAUUAAUAUUAAUUACUAAUAAUUAUAAUAUUAAUAUUAAUAUUAAUGAUGUUAAUAUUAAUUUUUAAUAUUAAUAAAUCCUAUUUCCGUCCUACACUCAUAUCAAGUACAUUUAAUUCGGACGCGAUUUUCCAAAUUUUAACAUCAUACUACCUACAACACGAUGGCAAGCAUGCUGCUCCUCCUCGAGGUCUUGCUGGAUACCUAUCUUUGAACACAAAAAAAAUAUAUAUUUAUAUAGUAUAAAUAAAAGUCUUUCAAAGAUAGUAACAGAAGGCAGCAAAUUUAUAAUUAAACUUUAUUAGUAACCUGUUUAAUUUAUUAUUUCAUAUUUUCAUAAGAAAAUGCAUCACUGUGAAAACUGUAAUAAACAAUUUACAACCCGUCAAUCACGACUACGCCAUGAAAAGCUCUAUUGUCAAGUGGUCAAAAAACAGGAAAAUGGAGGACCGGCCGCCAAAAAACAGAAAAUAUGUCAUUCAACUGGUAAGUUUUAACUAAUAGGUACUCUAUUUUCAAUUAUUUUUCUUUUCUAGCUAGCAACAAUUAUAUGUGCGUUACAUGUAAUCAAGAAAUUGCUCCAAAGCUUAUUACGGCUCAUGAGAGAAGUAGACAGCAUAGAAAUAAUUGUCAAAGUACUCCCUUGGAGGAUGGGGUGUUUGCACUCAGCAGUGCAUUUAAAUCACGCAUCGCUUCAUAUAGGAUUUGUGAUGAGGGCGAUUAUAUCGAUUUAAAUGAAUUUAUGGAUAAAAUUCACAAUAAAUUACUUGGACUUAUUGUUUCACAAAUUGAAAAAUUUAGUACAAUCAAAAUUAAUUUGGAAUUAUUUGGAUUGUAUACCAUUGAGUCAAAAAAUAUAUUUGAUGUAAAAUCUUUCAAUACUACUAACAGAAUUGUCACUUUAGGCACGAAUAUUAGGAAUAUGUUGCAUGACUUUCAAGAAGUUAUUAGUCAAAAAAUGAUGGAUUUUUUGGAACGAGAUUCAGGCUGGACACUUGUGAAAAUUUUACAUUUAGAAUUAAAUGUAAACUAUUACAAUCCAUUGAAAGCUUCAUCGUAUAUCCCACUACCGCCAAGCGUGAAAAUGAAGAGGGCAAUAGUUAAUGUUCAAAAUCAGGAUAUUCAUUGUUUUGGUUGGAGUGUCGUAGCAGCAGUGUGUCUACCUAUGGGACCAGAACAUUUACCCAGUUCAUAUCCACAUUGGUCGACACUUUUUAAUUUCCAAGGUAUUGAAUUUCCUGUAAAACUGGAUAGUAUUGCAAAAUUUGAAAGUCAAAAUAAUGUCUCUCUUAAUGUUUACGGACUUGAAUUACUUUAUGUAAACAAUAAGGUAAAAUUUGAAAUUGUGGGACCAUUAUAUUUUACAAACUUUAAGAAACCGGUACACAUAAAUUUAUUAUUGUUGAGUGAUAACGAUGGUAAUCAACAUUACUGUACAAUAACUAAUUUGCCACGUUUAGUAUCUUCCCAACUCUCAAAACAUCAUCAUUCAAAAUUUUUCUGUGAUGGAUGUCUACAAUAUUUCACAACCCAAGCUUUAUUAGAUAGACAUUCUUCGACUGAUUGUGGAAAACUUUAUGCUAGAAUCCCAAAUAAUGAAUUAAUAACAAAUAGAUUUGGUUAUAAUGUUCCCGCUAAUGUAUUAGAAUUUCAAAAUUAUCAUCAUAAAAUGACUAUCCCAUUUAUUGUUUAUGCUGAUUUCGAAUGUUUAUUGAAACCUAUGAGUACAGUUGCACCAAAUCCAAAUCAAUCAUUUUCGAUAAAAACUUUUCUCCAUCAACCAUAUUCAUGUGCAUAUUACAUUAAAUGUUCAUAUAACGAUCAAUUAUCUAAAUUCCAAAGUUUUCGAGGACAGUCAUCUGUGGUUGACUUUAUUACAGCAUUAGAAAUAGAUUUGAUAGAGAUUUAUAAAAAGUAUUUAAGUAUUGUACAACCAAUGCUUCCAUUAACUAUUCAAGAAGAGUUUGAUUAUCUUACAGCAACGGAAUGUCAUAUUUGUCAAAAACCUUUUCAACAGAAUGAUAUUAAAGUAAAAGAUCACUGUCAUUUAACGGGUCGUUAUAGGUCCGCCGCGCACAGUAAUUGUAACUUGAAUUUUCAAAUUCCAAAUUUUAUUCCGAUAGUAUUUCAUAAUUUAACAAAUUAUGAUAGUCACUUAUUCAUUAAAGAGUUGGCCCUUGAAGAAAGUGAAAUUAAUAUCCUUGGUAAAACUAAAGAGAAAUAUAUUACAUUUUCGAAAAAAAUUUGUGUAGGCGAAUAUCUAAAUUCAAACAAUCGAAUAGUCAAGGAGCACUUACACUUGCGUUUUAUAGAUAGUUUUCAGUUUUUGGCAUGUUCAUUAGAAAAACUGGCAGCAGCCUUGGAUGAUGCUCAAUGUAUGGAAGUAAAACGAUACUUUCCCGUUGACAGAGAAUUUCAGUUAAUUAGACAGAAAGGGGUUUUUCCAUAUUCAUUUAUCGAUGAUUUUUCUAAAUUAGAUCUCACGGAAUUACCACAAAAAAUUGAUUUUUACGAUAAACUUCGCGAUGAGCAUAUUUCUGAAGAUGAUUAUCAACGAGCUAAUACCGUAUGGAAUACAUUCCAUUGUCAGACUCUAGGCGAAUAUUCUGAUCUCUAUUUAAAAAGUGAUAUUUUACUAUUAGCUGAUGUCUUUGAGAAUUUUCGAAACAUGUGCCUUAAGCAUUAUGAACUUGAUCCAGCACAUUACGUGACAGCACCAUCUCUUAGUUGGAAUGCUAUGCUUAAAUUUACCCAUGUAAAAUUAGAAUUAUUGACUGAUAUAGAUAUGUUACAUUUUUUCAAAAAAGGGAUUCGUGGGGGAGUUAGUACAUGUGUUAAACGAGCGGCUCAAGCAAAUAAUAAAUUUCUUCCAAAUUAUGAUCCUUCGAAACCGACAUCAUACAUUUUAUAUCUCGAUGCAACAAAUCUCUAUGGUUGGGCUAUGAGUGAAGUACUCCCUUUAGGUGGAUUUACUUGGUUAACGCAAGACGAAAUUAAUUCACUUAGUAUUAUGGAUUUGACUGAUACCACACCUGAAGGUUAUGUCCUUGAAGUAGAUAUCUCUUAUCCUUAUCAUUUACACAACUCUCAUAAUGAUAUGCCAUUUCUACCUGAAAAUUUAAUUCCACCAAACGGAAAAUGUGCGAAACUCAUUCCAAAUCUAUGUGCUAAAACAAACUACAUAAUACACUAUCGAAAUUUAAAACAAGCUCUACAAAAUGGACUAGAAUUGACAAAAAUUCAUAGAGUACUAAAAUUCAAUCAAUCGUCAUGGCUCAAACCAUAUAUUGAUUUAAAUACGAAAUUACGAAAUCAGACUAAAAAUAAGUUUGAAAAAGAUUUAUUUAAACUCAUGAAUAAUAGCGUGUAUGGAAAAACCAUGGAAAAUGUCGAUAAUCGGGUAGAUAUUAAACUGGCUACACAUUGGAAAAAAAACGGUCACAAGUAUGGAGCAGAGACAUGGAUAGCCAAACCACAAUUUAAAAAUUGUUCUAUUUUUACUGAAAAUUUAGUUGCAAUAGAAAUGAAUAAAGUUCAAGUAACGUAUGAUAAACCUAUUUAUGUAGGAUUCAGUAUAUUGGAAAUUUCAAAAACUUUAAUGUAUGACUUUUUUUAUAAUUUCCUUAAAGUUAAGUAUGGAAAUAAUGUACAGCUUUUGUAUACGGAUACGGAUUCAUUAAUUUUAGAAAUUUAUACGGAAAACGUAUAUAAUGAUAUUAAACAGAAUAUCGAUCGGUUUGAUACUUCAAAUUAUCCCGAGAAUAAUAUUCAUGAUAUUCCUAAAACUGUGUCUAUUAUCGGUAAAAUGAAAGAUGAGUAUGCUGGUGUACCAAUUGUACUUCUUUAUGGCACCGGUGCCAAAGCAUAUUGUGUGCAAACAGUGAAUGAUUUAAUUAAAAAGGCUAAAGGUGUAAGUAAACAUGUAAUUGAUAAAUCUCUAACACUGUUACAAUAUCGGGCAAUUGCAACAAAUCCUUCAUCUUCAUCAGUUUUCUGUGUUAUGAACGUUUUCAAAUCUUAUUUACAUAAUAUGUAUACCGAAUUAAGGAAUAAAAUAGCACUGUCUAAUUUCGAUGAUAAACGAUACAUUUUAGGUAAUUCAAUUGAUACAUUAGCCUGGGGACAUUACGAUAUUGAUAGAGAUCGAAAUUUAGAUUCUCUAAUUAGAGAAUUGCAAAAAUAUGUGGAACCCACUGAUUGAAUUUUACCUUAUUGUAGAUAUGUAACGAUAUGUAACCAUUUAUUUAUACUACGUAUUUAUUAUUAUUAUUAUUAUGUAUUUAUAAUUGAUGUAAUGUGUAAAGUAUUUUUAUUUGUAUUCUGUAAGUCAACAAUGAAACUUGUGCAACAAAAAGAUUUAUUAAAAAUUUCUAACCACGA